rnacentral:lncRNA from 1 species
GAGUUAACUUUCUAAUAUUAAAUUUUUAAUAUUGAAUCAAAAUAUAUUUCACAAAUUUUUGAAAAAUUAUCUUAUUAUACUAUUUUUCAUAAGCAAAAGAGAAAUUUUUUACAUUAUCAAGCGAGCACAUUAUUUUCGAAUCGGCCAUAUAGAGUUUCAGGUUAGUUUCGGACUGAUCCGCCGCCGCCGUCUGCUCCGGCUCCGGCGAAAGUCGCCGGCAGCCGCGCCACACGCACAGCGACCUCUCCUUCACACGCGCGGCUCCCUUUCUCUCACCCAAAAUCGUUUCCCCUCCCCCAUCUCUCCACUCUCACCGCCCCUCUCUCUUCCUCCCUAAAUUUUCGCCGCCGCCGCCGCUAACAACCCCGGCGAGAAAUGCCGGAUCCGAGGCAUCCCUCACUCAUCGCCUUCCCUCGCGUUUCCGGCAGCUGACGGCAAAGGAGGGCCCCCGCCGCUGCUGCUCCGUUCGCGCCGCGUCAGCGGCGCUUGGCCUUCGGCCACGCCGCCCCGGCCUCGCUCCGACUCCGUCUGUCUUGGCCGCGAGUGGCCGGCGGACUGCUGCCCGCAUGCAGCGCCGGCAGCCGCGGCCUUGACAGCCCGGCAUCAAGCUCGGACAGCCUCCCUUUCCUAUCGCCUCCUCGACUCUCACCCUCUCCGAAGGCUAGCAAGAAGGGUUCAGAUUUCAGAUGUAAAAAGAUUUGAUUUUUGGUUGAUUUGGAGUUUCUGAAGUUUAUUGAUGAAAGCUGUCGAUUGGUUUUGUUUGAACUGAUCUUUCUUUUUCUCAUUCUUUGGUUUAAAGAAGAAUUGGUCUGAGUUCUAGGAAUGUUCAAGUUUCUGUGUUUUCAUGGUUGUUUUGCAGAAUAUUACUGAGCUUGACUAUUGUUGCUGGUAAAUGAUAGAGGAAAAAUGUGAUUUUGAGAAAUGAAAAGAGAUGGAAAAGGAUUUGCAGAGCAUUGCUGGAAAGGAGUAUGUCGAUUAGGGGAUUAUGCAAAGGAAAAUAGAUAGUAC